UUUCGUUUUCUUCUUGUUCGACCGAUGUCUCCGUAGACAAUGACGGAAAUUCACGUCGAACACGGCGUAUCACCGAUGUACCACGAGCUUGAGUUUCCGGACUCGACCCACCAGUACUUCGCCGGCUCCCACUUGUUCUGAUCGUCUCUGCCGUCUCCUCGACGACAACUUUAUUCCCUGACGCUUCCAUCGUGGCGCUAGCCGUGUUCACUGACGAUGAUGAUGGCCUGUAAGAACGUGUAUAACGAUAACGUAUUGCUCAAAGAAAAUAAACAAAGAAGAAAAAAAAGAAACGAAAAAAAAAAGAAAAGGAAUAAACGGAAAAGUUUUUUUUUUUUUUUUAUGUUACCACGCCUAUGAGAAAACAUUCAUUUCGAGAGUUAACUUUUAAAAGGAUAGCAAUAAUGAAAUUGCCUAUUUCGUGAGCGUGAAUCGACUCAACGAUGUUUUUACUAUAUGGCUUCGUCUAUGGCUCCUUAUAGCUUUCAACGAAAACUCGUAAAUAAGGCUACGCUUCCAGCUUCCAGUCGGUUGCACGUUAACGAGCUUGCGAGUAUAUCGUUAAACGUGUUAUCGAUAAGAAGAAGAAAAAGAAAAAGAAGAAGAAGAAGAAGAAGAAGAAAGAAAAAAAUGAAACGAUGGGAAAAAAGAAAACAAACAACAGUAUAAAAAUAAAAUAAUCAGUAGUCUCUCAUAAACAUAGAAUAAUUUGUAGUUCCUUGUAGGAAUUAAUUAUACUUUUUUUUUUGUUGUUGUUCGUUUCUCUUUUUUUUUUUUUUUUCAUUCUUCCUUUCUUUCUUCGUUCGAAAAAAGUAUAUAAUAUUUGUUGAAAAAUUAAUUGCUCAAGUGAACCAGAAAUUUUUUUAAAUACAUACCACAUUUAUGGAUAUCGAUUGUGUAUAACCUAUUUUUACUUUGGUUUAUUACACCGAUAAAAGUCAAUAUAUAAAUUGUU